CGGGGCUGGAUGCCCAGGGUCUGCUGCCUCCAUGGGAUCUGGCUGGGCUCGAAGUCGGGGCUCAGCAAAGGUAUUUCGUGUGAACGAGGAAUCCACGGGUCAGACCCGCUUCCACAGCCCUGAGUCGGGGCGGGUGCCAGGGCCAGUCACCCUGACACUCAGGAGGUGCCGGCCUGUGGGGCGUCCGCGGGUGGGCCUCUGACGCAGAGAAAGACCCAGAUCCAGCUACCUCGGGGGCCUCCUGCUGCGCCUCGCCUUUGGGGCAGGCCUGAGGGCAACGCUUACUGCGGAGCAACUGUGUUCUACAGUGUAGUCCCGACACUGAAGACUCCUGGUCCUGGACUCUGCUGUAAUCUAGAAAUCCACUAAGAUUCGGCUCGACUUACAGACCUCAGCGCAGGACGUGGACGCCCUGCAAAGGAGGACAUUUCAGCGGACGGCAGAGAAUACAGAUUUAUGCCAGCGCCCUGCGGAAGGAGCCUCUGGCGGGUCAUCUCCAUUUAUGGGAGAUCGCAGAGCGGUGAGCAAAGUCUUGCACCAGCGGGGAUGUCGGGGUGGAACUGAACCUGUUGUAGGGGACCCCCAGUGUGCCCUGGUUUCUGGGGCUGAUUCAUUACGUCACUUAGUUUCUACUAUUCUCAUGCCACCCCGCCAAUUACUAGACAUAAAACGUUCCCAGGGAAGCCCGGCUAGCUCAGUCGGUAGAGCAUGGGACUCUUAAUCUCA
rnacentral:lncRNA from 1 species